CAGGGAGACAACAAAAUGUUUUGAUAUAAAUUUUGUCACCUUAGGUCGAUCGGUAUCUCAGAUUUUCAUAUUUGAAAAUUUCAGUUCUUAAGUUUUUUCUAGGUCACCCAUUUUUCCUGGGCCAUUAGCUCAGGUGGUUAGAGCGCACCCCUGAUAAGGGUGAGGUCCCUGGUUCAAGUCCAGGAUGGCCCAUAUCUCUAUAUUGGGGGUAUAGCUCAGUUGGUAGAGCGCCUGCUUUGCAAGCAGGAUGUCAGCGGUUCGAGUCCGCUUACCUCCACUGAAUACCACCUCUCCGAGGAUAAGGAAUAUAUGGGAUCGAUCUUAUUCUGAGUGAAUCUAGCUUCCUAUUAUUUAUCAAAUUUAAUUAAUAAGAUGCUGGACUCAAUGAAUUUUUAAAUUCUUUGUUUUCAGAGAACCUUGACAACUGCAUAGAUUUUUUUUCAAGACAAUAAGCAUCUUUAUAAAGAUGCAGAUUUAUUAUUGGUGCUUAUGCAUUAAUAACAAUUCUAUUGAGCUGAUGCUUCAAUUUUUGAAGUUAUU
rnacentral:tRNA from 1 species